GCCCGGCGAUUGGAGAACAGCGCCGGGCACGCCGAGGAUUCAUUAGUCUAGCAACCUGCCCGUCACCACGAGCUAGGACUCCAUUGGGGGAUAUUACUUGGCAAUCAAAUAAGACCCCACCCCUAAGGCGGGCUAUUGCGCCAAAUUCUCAAAUCCCGGUAGGGGAGCUGGCCUGUCAAUCAACAUACGCCCCACCUCCUCUCAACCCCUUAGGUAACAAUACCGCCACGCUGUGACGACAUUCCUGCCUCCCCCCACCCCCACCUCCAGGCGGAUCCGCGAGUAUAUGACGCUCGGUGAUUGGCCGCUGGCUAGGGCGAGGAGACAAGGCCAAUCUUCCGAUCGCCUCGCAGCAAUAGCCCUCUCGGAUGCCGAUUGGCUCGUGAGAUUCGAAGGGCUAACAUCCGUUUCGUGACAGGUGAACCUUGCCCCGCAACGGACGGCAAGGCUUCCAGCCAUGGAAAGCCGAGGUCACAUGACUAGUCCUUGGCGGGGGGCCGCCAUCUUGACGCUACUGGUCGCCGGCUGGAGAGAUGUUAGAAAGCAGUGGCUGGAAACGUUGAGGCGGUUUCUGUAAACUGGUUUGCUAACCAGGAAGCUACCAGUGGAUGGAAUGUUGCUGGAAAUGGAGGUUCUGAAUGGAGCUCUCCAUUGAGAUUCUUGACCUGGUGAUUUUAUUUAUCAUCUGCACAUUUAGGAAUAAAGACCUUCAUCAAAGUGAAAAAAGGCUGAGCCCCAACACAGGGCUUGAACUCACAACCCUAAGAUGGAGACUUGAGCUGAGAUCAAGAGUUGGAUGUCCAACCAACUGAGCCACCCAGGUGCCCCAACUCCAAUUAUUCUCUAAUGCAAAGUCUAGGCUCGCCUAUCUUAACUCCCUAGGUCUGUCCUUGCAGGGAAGUGAGGUGUCCAUUUAAAUGAGAAAGAAUCUACAUGGGCUGCUUAUUUCCUAUUCUGCUUGGUUAACUUUUAAAAAAUGUUGUACCUGGAAAACUUGUUUUAAUAUAUUGCAUCAUAUAUAUGUGUUCUUUAUGAAAAGAUCAGAAAAUACGGAUAGUAAAAAGAACAAAAUAAAAUCACCAGUAAAAUCCAACACCCAGAGAUAAUCACUAGUGAUAUUUUGGCAUAUCCCCUUCCUGAAAUUUUCAAAACAUAUAUACAUAUAGAGGCACACAUGCACACACACACACAUUUAUAUAUUUAUUUUGGCAAACUGGGAUCAUACUGUAUAUAUUAUUUUCUACUUCCUUCUUUACCAAGUUAGAAAUGUCUUUCCAUAUCAAUAAAAAUAUUUUUCCAAUUUCAUUUUCCAUGAUUUUACUCAAAAAAAGUCACCUUAGAAAUGAGGGCUUCCCUGACUAUUCUAUUUAACAUUGAAAUCUAUACUUAAACACUUUCCCAAUUCCAUGCCAAUGAAUUAUUUUUCUUCACAGCAUUUAUCACCUUGAAACAUGAAAUGUUAUGUUAAUGAAUAUUGUGAAAUGAAUUUAUUUAGUUUUUGUUUGUUUCCCUUAGUAGAAUGUAAGUAAUAUGUAAUAUGAGGGCAGAAAUUUGUGCCUGUGCACUCAGUGUCUAGAACUGUGCUUAGUACAUAGAAGAUGCUUGAAUAUUUGUUGCAUGAAUCAAUGAUUGAAUCAGUAAAAAAAACUACAUAGCUUUCCAUUAUAUUACGUUUUCUAGUUGAUUUUUAAAAUAUUGUUAAUUUUGGGCGCUUGAGUGGCCCAGUGGUAGAGCAUCUGCCUUGGCUCAGGUCAUGAUCUCUGAGUCUCGGGAUGGAGUCCCGCAUUGGGCUCCCCUGCAGGGAACCUGCUUCUCCCUCCGCCUGUGUCUCUGCCUCUCUCUCUCUCUCUCUCUCUCUCUCUCUCUCUCAUAUAGUUUAUGUCACACCUAUAUCCACAUUUAAGGAACAUUUUAAAGUUUUCAAAGAAUCUGCUCUUAAGUAAAAACACAGAAUGUCUACAAUCCAUUUGCUAGAAACUGUAACUAAAUGUUGCCCAAAUUUUAUCGAAAGUACCAUAUGGAGAAAUGACAUUCAUGGAGAAAUGUCUAAAAGAUUAAAAAAUCCAUCUAUCCAUUUAUAUGGUCUGUAAUUUAGCCCUAUAAUAAACCGCCAUAGGGUAUAUUUGGGCUAAAUUGUGAUGAGCCUGAUAGAACAAGCUUAGGAUCUACUGAAUUCCCAUUUGGUGUUUAUUGGUGCAAAACUCAACAUCAUAUUUACUGUCAGAUGUUACAGAGGGUGAUAGCCUCUAUAUCACCCCAGAAGAGCCACAAAAGUCUUUGCCCAUCUUAAGGAACCGACAGACUUUUCUAAAUCCCAAGAGGAAAGUGAAUCUUGUUUUGUUUUCCAAUUUGCCUUAGAAAUUGGAAAGCUCAAGGCCGAAUUUAUAGCUUAGCUUCAGUAUUCGGAAAUACUGCUUAUAGAAUGCUUUUCUGUACAUUAAUUUUCCUUUUGCUGUCAUCUUAUUUUAAUAUUUCAAUUUAUCCUUUACUUCUACUUUAUUUUUUAUUUUAUUUUUUUUUCUUUACCUCUACUUUAAAAAUCCAUAUUCUCCUAUUGUUUUGUAUAGCAAGAUGUUGCAAAUGCUUUUUGGAAGGAAUUAGUCAAAUACAAAUCAACCGAUCAUUAAAUCAAUCACACUGGAGUGGAGAUAAAUGCUCUCAUAGCCUGACAAUAUUAACUAUUAAGAGCAUCUAAUUCCCCUUUCCUUAACUCCAUGUUCACCAAGCCACUCUCAGAUUUUCAUAUGGCUUGCCCUGUUGAUUUCCUAUAGAGAGGAUGGAAACUCUCCUCUGAGCAGUAUAUCUCUAACUACAAUCUAACACAUAUAUACCCAAAUGUAAUUUAAUUGCACCAGAUUAUAGAAAGACUAGAAAUUCUUAUAAUUUGAAAUUAGUAUCGCUCUUCCUGUCAGGCAGGAUUCUGAUGUUGUUCUCAAUUAGGACAGAAGGAUGGGCUGAAUAAUUCCUGUAGAUUCCAUCCACUUCAGCUGUUUGCAUUAAAAUGGCUGAAAUCAAGUAUCUCAAGGUGCCAGGAAAGGAAGCAGGGGCUCCAUUUUUGCAAGAAGUAAGCAGCAGGAUACUGGGAAGAAAUGCUCAUCAUCACUGGAGGCUGAACCACAACAGGGGACUUGAUUAACAUCACAAAAAGAUUUGGGGUAAGAUUUUCUUUGUUUUGGUUGGUUGUUUGUGGCCAUUCCAAAGUACUGUAUACACACACCUCUUAAGAUUUGGUUUGGCACAGAUGGAGCUCUUGGCUUUGGGCAUUUGGCAGGGGUUGGGAGAUGGGGGGAACAACUCUGAUUUUCUUUUUUUUUUUUUAUCUCAACACUUUCCGAAAUCCCUGUUACUCUAAUUCUUGCACUUUAACAAGGUCAUGAAGAGAUGAUUAGAUCAAGAAAUGUCCUGACACCAGGCUACAGAGUGUAAAAGUCACAAACCCUGCUCAGUCCUUCUCAUUAAA